rnacentral:rRNA from 1 species
UACGUAGGGUGCAUGCGUUGUCCGGAAUUAUUGGGCGUAAAGAGCUCGUAGGCGGUUUGUCGCGUCUGCUGUGAAAACUCGGGGCUUAACCCCGGGCCUGCAGUGGGUACGGGCAGACUAGAGUGCGGUAGGGGAGACUGGAAUUCCUGGUGUAGCGGUGAAAUGCGUAGAGAUCAUGAGGAAGACCAGUGGCGAAGGCGGGUCUCUGGACAGUUCCUGACACUGAGACACGAAGGCCAGGGGAGCAAACGGG